rnacentral:rRNA from 1 species
GAUGAACGCUGGCGGCGUGCCUAAUACAUGCAAGUCGAGCGAAUGGAUUAAGAGCUUGCUCUUAUGAAGUUAGCGGCGGACGGGUGAGUAACACGUGGGUAACCUGCCCAUAAGACUGGGAUAACUCCGGGAAACCGGGGCUAAUACCGGAUAACAUUUUGAACCGCAUGGUUCGAAAUUGAAAGGCGGCUUCGGCUGUCCCUUCUGGAUGGACCCGCGUCGCAUUAGCUAGUUGGCGAGGUAACGGCUCACCAAGGCAACGAUGCGUAGCCGACCUGAGAGGGUGAUCGGCCACACUGGGACUGAGACACGGCCCAGACUCCUACGGGAGGCAGCAGUAGGGAAUCUUCCGCAAUGGACGAAAGUCUGACGGAGCAACGCCGCGUGAGUGAUGAAGGCUUUCGGGUCGUAAAACUCUGUUGUUAGGGAAGAACAAGUGCUAGUUGAAUAAGCUGGCACCUUGACGGUACCUAACCAGAAAGCCACGGCUAACUACGUGCCAGCCGCCGCAGUAA